UACGUAGGUGGCGAGCGUUGUCCGGAAUUACUGGGUGUAAAGGGAGCGUAGGCGGGGAUGCAGGUUGGAUGUGAAAUACCGCAGCUCAACUGCGGGGCUGCAUCCAAAACUGCAACUCUUGAGUGAAGUAGAGGUAGGCGGAAUUCCUAGUGUAGCGGUGGAAUGCGUAGAUAUUAGGAGGAACACCAGUGGCGAAGGCGGCCUACUGGGUUUUAACUGACGCUGAGGCACGAAAGCGUGGGUAGCAAACAGG
rnacentral:rRNA from 1 species